UACGUAGGUGGCAAGCGUUAUCCGGAUUUACUGGGUGUAAAGGGCGUGCAGCCGGGAGUGCAAGUCAGAUGUGAAAUCCCGCGGCUCAACCGCGGAACUGCAUUUGAAACUGUGCUUCUUGAGUGCUGGAGGGGCAGGCGGAAUUCCUAGUGUAGCGGUGAAAUGCGUAGAUAUUAGGAGGAACACCGGCGGCGAAGGCGGCCUGCUGGACCGUAACUGACGUUGAGGCUCGAAAGCGUGGGGAGCAAACAGG
rnacentral:rRNA from 1 species